GUGGGGAAUAUUGGACAAUGGGCGAAAGCCUGAUCCAGCCAUGCCGCGUGUGUGAAGAAGGUCUUCGGAUUGUAAAGCACUUUAAGUUGGGAGGAAGGGCAUUAACCUAAUACGUUAGUGUUUUGACGUUACCAACAGAAUAAGCACCGGCUAACUUCGUGCCAGCAGCCGCGGUAAUACGAAGGGUGCAAGCGUUAAUCGGAAUUACUGGGCAUAAAGCGCGCGUAGGUGGUUCAGCAAGUUGAAGGUGAAAUCCCCGGGCUCAACCUGGGAACUGCCUCCAAAACUACUGAGCUAGAGUACGGUAGAGGGUAGUGGAAUUUCCUGUGUAGCGGUGAAAUGCGUAGAUAUAGGAAGGAACACCAGUGGCGAAGGCGACAACCUGGACUGAUACUGACACUGAGGUGCGAAAGCGUGGGGAGCAAACAGGAUUAGAUACCCCGGUAGUCC
rnacentral:rRNA from 1 species